GGCGAUGUGGCCGAGUGGUCUAAGGCGCUGGAAUUAGGCAUUUCGUCGCUAUCCAGUCCGAAAGGGCGUGGGUUCGAACCCCACCGUCGUCA